GAAGGUGAGGCUGGGGGAGGAGGCCGAGAAGGAAGCGCUCGGGAGGAGCCGAGGGCUCCUCGCGCAAGUGCCCGCAGCGCCCGGAAGCGUCCAAAGGCCCGGUGCUUGAAGAAGCCUAGGAGGCCUCUUGGGGAACCACGACGACUUCAACGAUGACGCAAUAGUCAUGCAAAAUUAUACAUGUAUAUUUAAACCCCACCCGGAAGGUAGGAUCCAUCCUAUCGGCCUCUAAGUGCACAACAGAACUAGAAAUGGGGAAGGAAGAAAGGCCAAGAGGUUUAAAAAAAAAUUUUUUUUAAGGCGCGCGAGGUGGUGGGGGAGGGGUUGUGGUGGACCACCACAGCUGGCUUAUUGCUUGGCACACACCCCCCCCCCCCCACGCCCCAGUAACAACGCAGGCUGUUCACAGCACGAACUUGAAUCAUUUACUUUGAAACUGGUGCCUAAAGGAGUCACAGCAUCUUGAACCUCUGAAGCAACCCUCCAACAGCCAGAAAAAGGAGACCCUGUGGGGUCUGGAUGCGGCAAAUGUACCCCUGCGUCCUCUGGAGGGAGCAUUCUCUGAGGUCGCCUUGCAGUCCCGAGUGUCCUUCGAAGUGGUGGAUUGUGAUCCCUGAGGAUACCCUUGCUCUAAGACUUGGCCGGUGAUCCAGGGGGCAACCUCUGACCCCUGCCCGGGCAGAGCUUGGAAAUACUGUCUGUCCGGGUCCUGUUCACUGACCUACAGUGCUGCUUUGACCAUUAGGCACUGGAGGAGAGGGCAGGGGAGAGUGCCAGGGAACCACAACCUCCCAUCCCCUGCUGAAUGUGAGAAAUGGCUUUCUUUCAUUGAUUCACAAGAUUGGAAAAUGCUAUGUUGAAAAGCUGUGCAGAGGUCAACUGGACCAUCUCCCUUAGCUCUCUUGAGGUUGUAGAUAAGCAAACAGACCUAGAGAGGCAAAGUGGUUAUCCCAAAGUCUUCCAACUAAUUCCAGCAUUCAAAGACCUGGAGUGUACUUUGGAGAAUGUCCCCAUGCCUCACUUCCCAGGACUCAACUCUCAAACCCCAAAUCUGAUUUCCACUAUCCCAGAAAGACUUCCUGGAUUAUUGGAAGGUCUUUGUGGAGUCACACUGAACAUCUCACCAGACUCCUCCACAUUUGGGUCUAAGUGUGGGUGUUGGCAUUGCCCCACUACUUUAGAUUAUGCAGUGAAUCUGGAAGAUAGCUUUUGUAUUCUGAAUGACAGGUUAAGGAAGGCAGGACAGGGCCUUGAAAUCAGGUCUUGGUUCAAGGCCAGUGUCUGCCACUUCCUGUGAGAGGGGAAGAAAGGAGGAUUUGCCCCCUUUGCCUACAGGACCAUUUCUUCAGACAGCAUUUGUAGAAACUAAUGUUCUAAAAGGAAGGUCUAUCAGAAGAGGUUAAGAAGCUACCAGAGUACCUCCAGCAGGGAGAGUGCAUUUGGUCGCAGCUCUGAUACUUGUUAGUGGUGUUACCAUGAACAUGUGACUUCUCUUCUCCCAGGCUCAGCUUUCUCAUCUAUAAAUGUGAACUCAUCUGUGGAAUCAGGUCUCACCCUUGAGAACUCUGGAGCCUUUCAGAAUGUGUCUGGAGAGAUCCUGGUAAAAACUUUGGGACAAAGAGAGAAGCAGUUGCUGGAGACAACGGGAAGGCCUUUAUGAGGGAUGACCAGGUCUGUCCUGGGACUGGAGGAUAAAGGCUUCCCUGAGGCUUCCCCCAUUCAGGACUCCAGCCUCUCAGUUCUUAUAAUACUUCUCAGAGGGGGCAGAUAUUCACUAAGGAUCCAAGAAACUGGAGGAUCAGCUCUGGAACCUUGAAGGAUAGCGGGAACCCAGGUUCUGGAUGCUCUGGGAGAAGCUCUGGGAAUGUCAGAGCACCCCAAGUAGGGAGCUGAUGUUGGAUGAAUCAUGCAGUGGUGACUUCAUUGGCAAUGGUGACCUCAUCCCUUUGGCCCAUAGAAGAACCCAGACUGACUGCCAGGAAUACUUAGAGUUCUGGUCUGAUUCCACCAGUGCGUAUGUGGACGGGUGGGGGCAUUAUCCUGGAUGCCCCAGGUCAGCAUGUGGAUGAACUGAUGGGUUAGCCGGCAGGACCAAUUAGAUGUCAAUAGAAAGCUUACUUUCCAACAAGCAAAGAAGAUAAUACAGUGGUAAAAACAACAACAACAACAACAACAACAACAACAACAACAAAAGCCAGCUUUCACAUUUCAGGGAUUGCAGGGACAGGAAGCAACUUUGUUUCUAAGCAUCCGCAGACUCUGCUGGCUAUUCUCCCUUUGAAACUGCUAAUGUCGAAACACACAGGUCUGUGUGUGAACAGUGAAAUCUCUACUUAGCCUUCUCCUCGUUUCCCUCUACUUCCUCCUCUGCAUUGAUUCAUCCUGUAUUUCAUUUAACAAGCAUUUACUGAGGUCUACUAGAUGCCAGGCUUUAUUCCUGGACGCGGGACGAAGAGCUGGAAAGCCACAAUCUCUGGAGAGAGAGGAGGAAAACAAACAGAUGAGCAAACAGGAGGCUGACUUCCAUGUAGCUGCAUCAAUUUCAGCAAAGCAGUAUAUUCUAAAGCAAAAUGGAAUCUAUGACUCCCAUUUCCCCUGCCCUGAGGUACCACUAUUGCCUGACAAGCAAGGAACCUGAGUGACACAGGGAGGUGAAGAAAUUGGUGCCCGUGUGUGAAGGACAUGAUUAGUUGAGAUGGGUCUGGAAUGCAGGUUCUCAGCUCCUAACAUGGUCAUGUUAGACCAUAAGGAUGGCCUUUGGAUCUCCAACUCGAAGAGGGUUCGGUGUUGAACUUACCAGAGUGUCACUGGAGAGAACCUCAGCUUGUUGUGAAGCUGUCCCUUAGGUGCCUCUGAGACUCUCGAGAGGUUAGUGUCACCGGAUGUGCCCACGAGCCAGUGAGCAUUGCAGCAUUGAGGGAUCAAGAAGAGAGAAGACUCACCUUUUCCUGUGACGUCUCUCCGUCGCCCUCUACUGACAAAGCAUAACAUCGCGCACGGGCAAGAGGAAUGUUUAUAAACUCUGGCUUCAUUACCAAGACCAAGGCAAUGAAGGGUAGAAUUGCAGCCCAGAGGCAGUAACACUGCAGUCUGUGCAGUUCCAGGCAUUCAGUUCCCUUUCAACAUAGCUACUCCAAUGCCCUGGGGGAAUGUCCUGUCUUUUGAGAAGUUCACUCAAAACAAUAACUGGCCCCUUCCAGGUUCCUGACCCUGUGCUAGUUACUGAUGGGAGCACUAAGGAUCAUCAUAUGCAGUUCUUAUCUUUGUGGAAUACAUAAUCUGGAUGGAGACAGAAGGGGUGCUUCUCUCUGUUCCCUAAAAACACCCUAGCCUUCCUGCCUUCCAGGCUUUUUGCUGGCACUUUUGUCAGCCUACAAAAUGCUCUCUCCUUUAUCUCUGACCAUGAAAGUCCCUGCAACCUUUGGGGUCCAUUCCAGCCACUGCCACCUGUGAAACUGUGUGCUUUGUGUCUCUGGCUGCUUGGUGUUAACACGAUCUGGUGCUUGUUUCACCUCUCCCCCUAGAUUAGAGGCUUGGUGCGGGCCGGGCAUACUGCUUCACUCACGGUAGGCACCGAAUGGGUUAGUGUGGCCCCUGGCCCCUGGCCAGGCUGUGGCUCCCUUCUGGCUAGUGAGCGUAACAUAGGCAGGCAGACCAGAAGGUCAAGGAACUGUAUCUUUUCCUGUUUGUCUCUACACGCCCAGCCGAACCAGAGGCCUCCCUUCCUACCCACUUUUCCUGUUUGAUCCCUCGACUUUGAUGUGGGUGAGUUAGCAAUCGAGGGAUUCACACACAGCUGGGUGUAAAUUAAACCCUUGUCCCUUUAACUCUAUUUUAAAUGCUUGGGAAGUAGGAUGAUGGGUGCAGGAACUUUGCCAUUUCAAGGAAUUUUGUGCAUCAUUUCCCAAAGCUCCUUUCCCCCAAUCUACAACGUAGGCAAAUCCAAUGGCCAUUCAUAUACUGGGCUUGUUCAAGCAAAGCCCACCUGUGGUGACCUCAGAGAAACCAAAAGAUAGGUGCUCUUGUGCUCUAACCAGGUUCGAGCUCUUGAUGGGAGGAAUAUUCCAUUGGAGAACCUUCUUAAGGCUGAGAUUCUGGAUUUUCAUCAUUCAGAGCUGAAAGGGCUAUGGAGACCCUACAGCCUGGGCCACAGUGGCUCUCAAUAACAACGAGAAUCCACUUGGGGUCAGAGAAGGGGACCAGUGGAGUGCAGUGGAAAAUGUUCUGCGCUGAGCUCAUUUCUUUGGAGAUCCUUCCCAGCUCUGUGGCCACCUCUCCAGUUGACUGGAAGCUUCUCUCCUGCCACGUCUCGGCAAGUCUUCACCCUUAAGAGAGCAAAAGCCGCUUUGAGGACCAGCCAUGAAUGCUCCCCUGCUUUAGAAUGCUCUAAAGCUUUCAUUGAAGACACUGCACGUAUAACAUCACACGAUGUCCACUAAGGAAUGCCGCCACGUGAGAAAUGGCUUUCAGCAGUUCAGAGUAGGAAAAACUUUAUCUUUUCCCCAGGAACUCCGAUGUCCUUUAGUUCUUUGUUCUAAAACAAACAACCAACAGGCAAACAAUCACUUUGUCUCCCCUGAGAGGAACUUCGCCAUAAUAAGAUAUGUAUCAUUUAUUGCAUUUCCCUCCCCGUGCUGUCUGGUGGAUGUGGUAGAUGGGCACUUGGCAUCCAUUUCCAACUCCUUCCCUGUGCCUUCCUGUACCUGAGGGGCUGGAAAGCUAACAAUGGCAUUUCCCAGAUUCCCCUGCUCCGAGGGUUCUGGAUUUAAAGUAGUUUCUGUCCGUAGGGCACUAAUGCACUCUCUGGACGUGAAAGUGGAGGGGAGGCCAUCUUCACUCUGUUCUGGCUCUUGCUGGGAACCAGCGUGGUUUUGGGGUGUGGAUGUUCCUGCGGUCAUGACUUGACGUCCAGUCACAACCUCCAAGAGUGGUCUUGGCACAUUGGUGGGGUGGCAGUGCCUUCCUGAUCCUGGGGUUGGAGGUUAGAUGGUGUGUUCUUGACUUCAAUAAUUCUGUGUGAUGGUCUUCGGUUCUCUGUCAUCCUGAUGACGGCAGAGGUGGGAGCUCCCUUGGCAGGCAGGUUGCAUGGCAAGAUUCUGAUCAUCCUGUCUGACAGCCCAGCCUGGAGCCUUUUUAUCCCCCGCUCUUUCCAAGACCCAUCCUGUAAGCACAAAUUCCUUGUGUUACACUGUCUUUGUUUAAUAAACAAAUGAGCAAGAAGGGA